rnacentral:lncRNA from 1 species
CCUUUUUCUACUUUCUUGUAGUUGCUAGAAACCGUUGGUAUUCCUUGGCUUGUAGGUGCAUCACUCCAAUAUCUGCCUCUAUUGUCACCUGGCAUUAUCUCUGUGUGUCUCUGUGUUCAAAUUUCCCUCUUCUUAUAAAGACGCUAGUCAUUGGGUUAGGGCCCAUUGUAAUCCAGGAUGGCCUCAUUAAUUUGAUUACACCUGCAAAGACCCUAUUUACAAAUGAGGUCAUAUUCAGAGAUACUAGGAGUCAGAAGUUUAACAUAUCUUUUUGGGGAUACAAUUCAACAAUUUUAACGCUUGCUGUAGCUUUAAAUGGAAGGGGUUUCAAAGUUCUUAGGAGUCCUUGUUUUUGUCUUCCCAGGUAUCUCUUGUUUUCUCUAACACCUCCUCUUAAAUAGAGACUGACCCUUGCAGCUCUUUCAGCUGUUAUCCAUUGUUAAUACGCUUGAGCCCUGGUGAUGCAGUGGGAAGAAGUGGGAGAGGAAAAACCUUCUAUGAUAUUAUGAUUACGUUUUAGUGUUUUAGUAAGUCUUUGUCUCUGAACUGCAACCUUCACAAGUGUUUCUUCAUCCUCUCCUGUCUUACACUUGAAAAAGGAAGCCUAGAAGAAGCUGGAGCCUGGGACAUACCUUUCCACCAGCUGAUAUAAGGCUCUUUUUUGCCGGAAGGGCUUUGUUAUAGAGAACACUCCCAGCAUAUUUCAAAAUGGCUACUUUCCUCUUUUCCUGCCAGAGGGAUGAGAAUAAAAUUUUUCUCUUGAUCGCAGCUUCAGGUUAUGCCUAAGAGUUCCAGCUUGUCUUUGCUGACGAUCUGCCCUAGAGAUCUCAGACUUGCGUAGACGGACCACGCAAUUAUCUUAGCCAGACCCAGCCCUGCAGUCGCCUUGAAAACCAGCAGCCAGGAAGCCAGUGAAGAGAGAAGAAUGGUGUUGGAGCCCCUUCAAAGCCCCAUCCCCAGAAAACUAUCGUUAUUUUACAUGGUUGGUGUUUCCAUGGAAGAUUCUACUCACAAGGCUGUCUUUAUCCUGAAUCAGAGCUCUCCCAGUGCAAAAAGCCUUUCCCCUGGGGGUGUUGGCCCCAAAAAUGUAUGCAGUUGUUUAAAAAUCUGGAUUUCUGUAUUGUAGGAUAAUGGAUAGGGCCAAAAAUAGGCUAAACAAAGGAAAAGCUGGGGAAUGAGAUGUACAUGAAACCUUGGAUAAACUAUGUCAUAUUCCUGAGAAUCUAGAAGGCUAUGCACGUGUGAAGGGCUAUGCACAGUCACAGAAGAGACCUCAUAGGCUCUCAGAGACUCUGUGCGAGCAGGAAAAUAAGGCUAGGAGGGAUCCUCAACUGCCUGAGUGCUGAAGGCGUGUCCCGACUCUCUCACAGAGCUCUCAGCAAAGACUGGGAGAUGCAUUGGUUCCAGACAUUUAAAAAAAACCUAUGUCCAAUCAUUCAUAGACCAAUGACCAAGCCUAUCAGUGACAUCAGUGGCCAUAAACAGCGACAUGAGGGGAAUAAUAGAGACAUCACAGAAUUUUUCAGAAAAGUAACUAAACAUGUAAACAACAAUGAACACCCCUGGGGAAGGGGGAGAACCUAUUUUCUAGAGCUUUGGCUUUAUUUUAAAUGUCCAGUUUAGAACAAUAGUAAAAAAAAAAUAUGAGAAUAAGAAGCAAGAAAACAUGGCUCAUGCACAGGAAAAAGGUCAUCAAUAGAAACUGUCAUUAAGGAAACCCAGACAAGGACUCGCUAGAAACAGAGUUCAUAUCAGUUAUUAAAUACGUUAAAGAACUAAAGGCAAUAAUAAGUGAUAACUAAUGGAAAGAAUGAAUAUAAUAUCUCAUCAAAUAGAUAAUAUGAAUAAAGAGAGAGACAUUAUAAAAUAGAACCAAACAAAAAUUUUGGCAAAUACCAAGGAGAACAGUUGCUGGAUUGGUAUAUAAGAUUAUAUCUAGUUUUAUAGGAAACUGCCAAACCGUCUUCUAAAGUGUCUGUACCAUUUUGCAUUCCCUCCAGCAAUGAAUGAGAUUUCCAGUCGCUACACGUGAACGACAACUAGUUUUGAAUUGUCUCAUUAUUUUAUAGGAUGGUUUUGAAGAUUUGAGGGAAAAGCAUCAAAUUGGUGGCCAAGCUUCUAUGCCCCUCUUCCCAUUUUCUGGGGCAGUGAAAGGAAGUAUCUUGCUCUUUCAUAUGCUGUUUUAAUCCAUUAGACAUUGUUUUGCACUAAGAAACUUAAAAAUAGGAAGCAUGUUGGAAGAUUAUUCAGUCAAAAUAGCUAAAUAAAAACAUAAGUAAAUAUAAAGCACUUGAACAUUAUAGUCAGUGUUCAGUGAUCUAUUUCUCUCUCUUCUUAUCUGUAAUAUGGUGACAUAUUUGUGUCUCAGCAGAGGUCUGUUGUAAGGAAUCUCGGACCAAUUGCCCAAUGCUCAUUUUUAUGUGUUAUAAAUGUCAUAAUUAUUAUGUUCUAUUUUAAUAAAUAAAUUUUGCAAGAUAGAUAUUCUCAGUCCUAUUUAGAGAUAAAGAAUCUGGGGCUUAGAAACUUAAGAUGCUUUCCCAGGUUACUAGAAAUUAACAGAAAUUGAUUUAUUUUUCCUGGAGAAACAAGAGGCAGUACAGCAUUCUGUGAGUUUUCAGAAGAGUUAAAAUUUCGAAAGGGAACUUAUCUGAUGCUAGGAGUGGGUGCAUGACAGAAAUUCGAGUGCAUGCUCUAUCUAACCAUAAAUCUUUGUAAUGCUAUGCUGCCACACUAUAUUGCUCGAUAUUAAUUAUUAAUGUUCUUGUCCAUCUGCCCCACUAAAUUUUGAGCACCUACAGGUUUAAAACCACGUAUAGUUCAAUUAUUCUUCAAAUCUUAGAGCCCGUAGCAUGGAGUUCAAUUUCUGGUGCUUAAUCCAUAUUUUAUUUAUUAACAGAGUUAAUGAAGGGGCUUAUAAAUUCAAAUUCCUAUAGAAUAGUAACAGAAACAUGAUACAAGUUAACUGAAUAUUUGGCAUCUAACUUGUUGAAUUGGACGAAAGUGCUUCUCUAGUAUAUUCAUUAGCAUGAUGGAUUAUCUAUGUAUUACAUAUGUAUAUAUGGUAUAUAUUUAUAUAUGAUAUAUAUAUCAUAGAGAUACCAUUUAUGCAUGUAUGUAUAUAUACACAUAUAUAUGCACCAUAUGUAAUAUGUAUAUGCACAUACAUUAUAUUUAUAUAUGAUACAUACUUCACUGGAAAAUGUAGACUGCAAACUGCCAUAUGAAGACAAGAAAGGAACGUUCGUAACAAUUGAGUCGGUUAUGGAGCUUGUAUCUCGUGAUCCUGCUGAGUCCAUCGUUCUAGGAGAGCUGCUUUCCUGCUGAGACAGGAGUGCUUGUGCACCCACGCCUAGGCUUGAAGA